rnacentral:lncRNA from 1 species
GUACAUUUCCUGAGUCCUCCCCAGCCAUGUGGAACUGUGAGUCAAUUGAACCUCUUUAUAAAUUAAUCAGUCUCAGUUAUUUCUUCAUAGCAUCACAAGCAUAGUGUCUGAAAGGACAACCAGUUUGCAGCACAAGAGAUAUGUCCUGAGAGUUUCUGAAGUUAUUUAACUGGUUCAAUGAGAAUUUAAUCAAGGUCUGCUUUAUAUCAAAAUUUAUGAUUUUUAUUCAAUGCCAUACAUAGAAUUUGUUCACAGUUAUCAUCAAACACACUCAUAGCUAGAGCAUAUUUGCCUGCCACAGUUAGUUUUGUGUUUCCAUGGAAUUUGAGCAAAACUGAUGCACUUGUCUCCCAGGAUUAAUCCAUACAAGUCACCUCUAAAAUUAUCUUUUCCCAUUCGUUGACUGAGCAAAAUGGACUUCAAGGACCUAAAGGAGGUUAAAUACCACAAGAUGGAGGAGCUUGAGUCUCUGAAUCAUUGUGUGUGAAGUCAUCUGCCAAUUACAUAAAUUGAAUUCUUGAUGUAAAGCCUCUGUUAAUACUUUUCCUGUUAACAACCUAACUAUUCAACUGCUGAAUAAAAACCAUUAGGACAACUAAAGAAACUGAGAGAUUUUGGCAAGAAAUAGUCAUUCCAAUAUCAAUGACUACGGAGGAAAUGCAAUUACUUUUCUUUGCUUAAGUUUUCCAGGGCCUUUCUCUGUUGCCCAGGCUGGAGUGCAGUGAGGCAAUCUUGGCUCACCACAAUCUCUCCCUCCUGGAUUCAAGCAAUUCUCCUGCCUCAGCCUCCCGAGUAGCUGGGAUUACAGGCAUGCACCACUACACCCGGAUAAUUUUUGUAUUUUUAGUAGAGAUGGGGUUUUACCAUGUUGGCCAGGCUGGUCUUGAACUCCUGACCUCGUGAUCAGCCUGCCUCGGCCUCCUAAAGUGCUGGGAUUACAUGCAUGAGCCACUGUGCCCUGCCAACUUGUUAAAUUUUUAAUCAUUCUGCUCACCUUUUGCAACCUUACUGACUUUUGUGUCUACCUUAUCUAGCAGUGGCUGAAAUUUCCUUCUAUGAUUAUAGAUUUGUCUGUUAUUUCUUAUAGAUUUCUCAAUAUUGCUUGUAUUAUUAUUUUAAGUUAAUACCAUUAGGCAUAAAAAUUCAAAAUUGUUAUCGCUUACUGAAUAAAUAAAUCUUAAUCU